rnacentral:lncRNA from 1 species
AGCCAAAUUUUAUCCCACUGAGUUUUCCUGUCAAGAUUUUUGAUGAGGCAGUAAACGAUACGUAUUGCAAGAUAUGUGUAUAUAUUUUCCUUCACUAAGAUUUUUUUCACAUGGUUCUUUUUUAGUAUGGUUUUAGUGAGGCACAUUAUCUAUUAUCGGACAUUCAAGAGGAGUGUUAUAUAUUGCAGUACUCAAUAUGGACGUCCACUACUUCCACUACUCUUCUCGAUGAUGUAGUUAAGCCCCCACUACUUCUCAUCAUUAUGGUUGUAAUUUCCACACCUCCAUAACAUUUCCCAUGAUCUCAAUGGUUAAUGUCAUAUUCUUGACACCCUUUGUUGUUCCUCGGUGUAACCCUAUAAAAUAAAGGUAUUAAAAAUUAUGAUGGAUACACUUGAAAGAAAUAAGAAAGUUCUUUUUUCUUCUCUUGUCUAUUUGUUAAUAUUUUAGUACUAUUUUCCAAACAUUAUUUACAAUCUUACCAUAGUUAUAUUUUUUUCUACUCGGUAUCUGCUUUGGGAUCUAAUUAAUUCGAAUUUCAGUUGGAAAAUUUCACUUGAGUCGAAAUCUCUGAUUAAGGAUAAAGGGGUGGUGGAAUUUUAAUAACAGUUUAUCAUAUCUUGAUCAAAAAAUUUAAGCCAAAUAAUGUGAAAAUAUCAAAGCCUUUUUUGGCUAUAUAUAUAUAUAUAUAUAUAUACUAUACUACUACUAUAGUAUNNNNNNNNNNNNNNNNNNNNNNNNNNNNNNNNNNNNNNNNNNNNNNNNNNNNNNNNNNNNNNNNNNNNNNNNNNNNNNNNNNNNNNNNNNNNNNNNNNNNNNNNNNNNNNNNNNNNNNNNNNNNNNNNNNNNNNNNNNNNNNNNNNNNNNNNNNNNNNNNNNNNNNNNNNNNNNNNNNNNNNNNNNNNNNNNNNNNNNNNNNNNNNNNNNNNNNNNNNNNNNNNNNNNNNNNNNNNNNNNNNNNNNNNNNNNNNNNNNNNNNNNNNNNNNNNNNNNNNNNNNNNNNNNNNNNNUAGUAAUUAAUAAAGUGGGUAAAAAUCUUCGGAGAUGGAUUCAAAUUUCAGUAAAUAUAAAAGACGCUAGGUGAAAACUUAUUUUUUGUAGGCAAAGUUAAUUGGUAUUUAUAUUGGUAGAAUGUAAAAUAUCUCGGUAUGAUAAUUUCGCUCAAGCUGACUAUAUUAGGUGUAUUUCACAGCAAUGAGUAAACAAUAACAUCCUUCAACCCUACUACUUACUUUGUUUCACUAUGAGUAAGACGGAUUAAAUUGAAUAUAUUAAAGUAGAAAUCAAAAGGAGAGUGAGCGAAAAAAUAAAAAUUGAGGGAGAGUCAUGAGUGAAAAAAUGAAGAAUGGGUGAUGAAUCUGAAAUUAAUUGGGAUCAAGAAAUAUUUAGGCACCUUUUAGGAGGAAAUAAAUGAGAUAAAGUUGACAAAUAAAACUUUUGUUAUACACCUUUUGUUUGCUUUAUGUAAAUUAUUUGUCAUAACAAUUCACUAGCAGAAAGAUUCCAUCAACUUUUAUUUACCGGUUCUUUCUUUGUAAAGGAGUAGAUAUAAACGUCACGUAAAAGAAAAUAUUAUCGUUUCAUGCAGAUAUAAUGUUAACAGUAAAAUGUUUUUCUUUUAUCUCAGUUUAUGUGUUAUAUUUUUCUUUUUAGUUUUUCUUUUUAGUUUUUCUCAAAAAAUAUUAUACUGUUUUGUUUAGAAAUAAUUGAACAUUAAACUUUCCAUUUUAUCUUUAAUGAGCUUAUUCUUAGUAACAUAAAUCUUUUUACGGAUAUACCUUAGAUUGUUUUGAUAGAAAUGCAUAUUUCAAGAAACUAAAUUUCCAUCUGAUUAAUCAAUGUAAUAAGUAAGAUUUCUAGUACCCGUCAUAUAUGCAGCUAAAGCAAGAAGUUUAUUUAUAAUAAGAUUUGUUUAUAUUCUAAGUAUCACGACAUAGAAAUAAGAAUAUGUCGUAUUUAUGUAACCGAUCACGCAUAAAUAAAGUACUUUAUAAGGAAAUUGUAGAUAGAAUAAGAUAUAAUUGAGUUAAAUUUUUUUAAGGAUGAUUAGUCUAACGAUCCGACCAGUCAUAUUAAGCUCUAGCUCGUCGUUCAGCGGUUUGAGGCCUUGAGUAGUUUCACUUCAUGUUUUAUGACUUGUACGCGUAAUCGGAAUCAAAUUUCGAAAAGUUCGGAGUUGAUUUGGAUGGAAAAUUCUCAAUUCGGAAGCUUUAGGUGGGAAGAGUUGAACAAGGUUUGACUUUUGAGUAAGCGACCUCGGAAUCGGGAUUUGAAGGUUCCAAUAGGUUCGUAUGAUGAUUUUGAAUUUUGGCAUAUAUUCAGAUGGAGUAUCGGGUUAUCCAAAAGUAUUUCGGCGCUUAUUGUGGAAAGUUGGCAUUUUAAAGAUUUUAGAAUUUUCUAAGAUUGAUUUGAAGUGAACUUUGAUUUUAUUGAUGUCCGUUUGGGAUUCCGAGCCUUGGAAUAGGUUGUAUCGUGAUUUUUGACUUGCACAUAAAGUUUGGCGUCAUUCCGGAAUGUUUUAAGUGUAAUUCUGACGCGUUCGGCGAAAUUUGAUAGUUUGAAAGUUGAAAAAAGAUUUUGAUCGUCGAUUCGUAGUUUGGACGUUGUUUGGUGUGAUGUGAGGCAUUCAACAAGUUUGCAUCAUGUUUUGCUAAUGGUUGGUAUGAUUGGACGGGGUCCCGGGGGCCUCGGUUGUGUUUCGGAUGGGCUACGAGUCAUUUCGCCAUGUUUGAGCUAUUGUUUCUAAGAUCUGGUGCAUCCUUCUACGCGAUCGCGAAGAAAGGGCCGCGAUCGAUAAGAACAAAGUGUUGUUCCAGGCCUUGUGAAUCGCAAUCGCGUAGAAGAAAUUUCUUUUAUCAGUGGUCUGACUUCGGGAGCUUAUAUCUUGCAAUCUAUAAGAAAUUUAGGGAUUAUCCAAAAAUAAAAGUUGUAUCCCUUUGUAUCUAAUAUUCAGAAAAUUAAACCGUUAAUCAUUUGGAAUUUUAUACAAAAAGUUAUGGCCAUUAUACCAAACGGUGUCUAUGAAGAGGAAACAAAAUUUGUACAUCGCGAUCGCAAGGUUUUGGCCGCGAUCGUGAUGAAGGAAACGAUGCUGGAACUUUUGUUAAUCGCGAUCGCAUGAAUAAUGACCGCGAUCGCGAAGAAGGAGGCCUGGCAGGUGUAUUAAACAUCUAAUUUCGAGAUUUUGAGCUCAUUUCAUCACUUUUAAGUUUUUGGAGCUCAUGUGGGGCGAUUUGGGGUGAUUCUUGAAGGUAGUUUUCGCAAUAUAUCAUAAGGUAAGUUAUUCUUACUUGUUUCGUGUUAAAUACAUGGGUUAUAUAUGGAUUCUAACAUGGAAAUUUGAUAUAAAUUAUGGAAUUUUUGGUAAAAAUCCUAGAAAUGGAAUUUUUAGAUUUUGACCACGAAAUUGGACAUGGAAUUAAGAAUAAAUUAUAUAUUUGAGUUUGUGGUAUUAUUAUGGUAAUAUUUAUCUUCGAAAAUUUUCAAAAUCCUAGCACGUGGGGCCGAGGGUUGACUUGGUUGACUUUUUGAGCAAAGUUGAAAAUUAUUAUAAAUUGAUUAAUUAUGGGUAUGGGGGUAUAUUUUUAUUGGUUUGCACGUUGUUUGACUAGUUUUGGAUCGAUGGGCAUUGGUUUGAGGUAUUAGAUAGGCGUUGGAGCCAGUUAUGGAACUUCGUUGCGAGGUAAGUCUCCCGUCUAACUUUGUGAGGGAGAAUCUGCCCCGUAGGUAUUAAAAUUGUUAUGUGCUACUAGUUCUGGGUGCUACAUACGCACGAGGUGACGAGAGUCCGUACGUAGCUAAAAGCAUGUUUAUGUCCGGGUAGACUUAGGACUUUGUCAUGUAAUAUUUGAAUUAUUUAAACUCAUUUUUGCUAGCUUAAUUAAGUGAAUUUACAAUUGAAAUUGAUUUGAAAAUAUAUUAGGCCGAGAUUUAUCACCUUGAGUUGUUUGGCGAGAAAUUUGAUAAACGGUAAGAGUCAUAUUUACUUUAUGCUCCUGCACCUAUUUUGUAAGCAUAUGACUCGUAAUUCGAUAAGUUUCUUCCUUUUUUUGUGGAUCGGGCUGAAUGCCUCGGCGGUAUAUUGAGAUGGAUCUCUGGUUCGCGUCGGUCGACCCUCAGUAGUGUACACACCACUCUGGAUGGGGCCGUACGGCCUCGGCAUAAUCGUGCGCUAGCAGUCCGAAUAUUUACGAGAUCCACCCUUCUAUUGAUGCUUGGUAUUUUAUAUGGUAUUCCUUAUCCGUUUGAGAUUGCACUUGAUAUUUCAGAUCUGUUGAUAUGGCACAUGUGAUUUGAGAGAUUUAUAUCGUUAAAAGAAAUUUUUGGAGGAUUAUGUUAGUUACAGUUUUUAUCUCAUUAAUACUGUUGUGCUUUAUAUCUGUUAUGAAUUAUCAUAUUGAUUUAUUGGACCACUAGUAAGUGUCGAUGUCGACCCCUCGUCACUAUUUCUCUGGGGUUAGGCUAGAUACUUAUUGGGUACGCGUUGAUUUACGUACUCAUGCUACACUUCUGUACUAAAUGUGCAUGAUCUGACAGAUUCAUUUGGUGUCCAUCUUGGCGCGUAGGCGCAACUGUUGAGGGAACUUUAUGGUGAGUUGCUUUCUAUGCUACGCAUCGUAGCCCACAGAGUCUCAAUCUUAUUUAUUUACUUUAUCAUGUCUAUUUUAUAUUCCAGACAAAUGUUAUAUUAUUAUUGCACUCUUUAGUAGACGCUCAUGCACUUAUGACAUCGGGUUUUGGGAUGUUCUAGAAGUUGUUUGUGAUUUUGCUUAGCAUUAACACACUUUUAUUAUCUAUUCUAGUUAAAUUGUAAGUUUUUACGAUUUUAAUGUGUUGAUUUCUUUAUCUAAUAAAAUUCACGAUUUCAAAAAUAAUAAAAUGCAUAAUUAAGUUGGUAGUUCAUCGUUGGCUUGCCUAACAGCGACGUUGCGCGCCAUCAUGACCUAUAGUGGGUUUUGGGUCGUGACAACUUGGUAUCAAAGCAUUAGGUUCACUUAGGUCUCACGAGUCAUGAGCAAGUCUAGUAGAGUCUUGCGGAUCGGUACGGAAACGUCUAUACUUAUCUUCGAGGGGCUACUUGGCUGUUAGGAGAACUUCCCUUCCUUGAUUCCUCAUCGUGCGAUAUGAUUUCGUUGAAGCUUAUGCCUUCGGUUCCUUCCUGCUCAUUCGUACACGACGUCAGGCACUUUUUAUCAGCUGGGCAUCGACGAGUUGUGAAAAUGCUACAGAUGCGAUGCAGGAUGUUUUUCUCUGAGUAUGCAGGCGGACUAUUGUCAUCGCCUUGUGGAGGAGUGUUAUGUCAUUUCAACCCAGUAUUGAUGUUGCCUAUGGUUUCAAGGCUAUGCACAAUGUAUUGUGAUGUUCAUGCAUUGUUAUCGUAUAGUGCCGGUGUGAAUUAGAGGAUGCUUACUUAUGUGUCGCGGCAAUGAAUGAUUCGGGAGGAGGAUUAAUUGUUUCAAGAUCGGGGGAUUCGACAUUUGAUUCCAGUGGAGGAGAGGCAAUUAAACUAUAGAUAUUUAGGCGUUGGUUGAUGGAGUUGCGAGAUUGAAUGUUUCUUAAUUUAGUAGAACUCUUGUUAAUAUUGUGGUGUUGUCGUCCUUGUUUGAAUGUAUUGAGGCUCGUCGAUGUGAUGGUUUUAUUUAUUUUGCUUUUGGGGCAGUGUGUUGUGGAAUGGUACCUAAAAGGCGGUUAUCAGAGAUGGUGAUGUGUGGCGGCUUCAGGGUCGGAUCGGUGCUUCUGGUGUUGAAUGGUUCGAGAGGGAUGAUCUUUAUGGAGGCUCAGAGUUGGUGGCAUUUAUCAGUUCGGGUGCUACAAAGAUGGAUUAUGAUUUGAGGUAGUAUUUGGGUAGCGAAAGAUGAGGAAGGACAUGGUGGGAGGUGUCUCACGGAGGUUGAAUUUCUAGAGGUCGUGUAGUUUGCUUCGAAAUAUGGUUAACUCAGAGUGAGAAUGUUAGCGUAUCGUAUGGAUUUCGUGGUAGGAUGGCCACAUGCUUCCAGAAAGCUUGGAGCGAUUAUGGCCAUGUUAAACAAGGGACUAAAUCUGUGUAUUUCAUUCGAGAUGACGGCUUUCUGCUUCGGAAGUUUGAAUACGAUGGAAAGAGUUUGCUUGGGAUGUAAUAUGAAUUCGAGUUUUGGAUGCAUCACUAGACCUUCAUUUGAUGUUGAUAGGAAAGAGCGAGCACUUUCGACUGGUGGAUGAGCGUGGGCUCAGGAAGAUUUAUCUGAUUUUGUGAUGGCUGUAAUCAGGGCAAUAUCGUUGGAAGAUGUCGAUAUGGGGUCACACAGGUAGGCUAUCUCCUGUGAGGUGUUAGGAGUUGCGUGAUUCCUAGUAAAGGUCCUCUAAAGAACUUUAUUUUCUGUCCAACAUGAAGUAUGUACUACGAUAUGAGCUGGGAUCGCUUGAAUAAGAUGGUGUAACGGCCAGGAGGUCGAGUGUGUGUUUGGAGAUGGUAAUUCGAGUUAUGUCAUGCAAGUUUAACAAGAAAUUGUGAGGAAUUUUACGGAGUGACGGUGCGAAAUCAUGGUAACCAAGGAGGAGGAGUCAUUUUGAAUUAUGGAUUUAUGUAAUUGUGGCUUGAAGCUAAGUGGGGGAUCCCCACCGUCUACGAUUGGGUCACGUGAUUGUAUGCCUUGGCAGUAUCGGGUUAUUGGUACAUUGGUGGAUUAGUUAUGAUUAAGGAAAGAGAGUCAUUCGAUUGCUUCUUCUGGGGUAUUUGUGUGCUACCGGAGCACUGGUUGCUAUCUAUUUCGGGACCAGGUCAGAGUGGGUGACUCUCAACAAUUAUUCUAGUGGGUUCAAGAAGUAAAGUGUGGUGCCUAAGGAUUUUCGAGUUCAUCAUGUGACUAAGGAAUUAGUUUUGCAGCGAAGUGUGAAAGAGGCUUGGAGUAUUUCUAUGAAUGUCACCGGGUCUGCAGUGCGAUGCUAGAGAGAUGGAGGAAACAACUUCAGUUUCGCAGGAGGUCUUUCAGAACGGGUGUAUAAGUUUGAGAUACUAUUGAGUGCAUAAGGAGGGUAUGAGAUGGCUGAUGGGUAUUGAGACGAUGUGGUCUCGUAAUUUGGGUCACUCGAGAUGAGUGUUGUUUGAGGUCUGUUUUGUGUUUGAGUAGAACUAUCGAAGGCAAGUCAAGAGUAAAUUGGAAGAAGUUGAGUCAGUUAGUAGUGAUUUGAAUCAGCAUGGUUGUGGAAAUGAUCAGUUCCUUCGGGGUGGUAAGGCUAUAUGGGUGAUUCGUGGAUGUACGUGCGGGCUUGACAGCCACCGUAAUUUGAUUGAUUUGGAGGUAUUUGAUUCUGAUGGCCUUGUUAUGUGUAAAUGAAUCCUAGAAGAGUUACAGCGGUUUAGACGACGAAUGGAGGUUUGCAUUUUCUGUGGUUAUGGGAAUUCAGUUGUGUGUUGCAAUUGUUCCUCUGAAAUGUGUUGAGUGAAAGGGUUCUAGAUGCUAAAGUGUUUAUUCUUUUGGUGGUUCGGGAGUUAUGAUGAAACUCUUGUACUCUUGCGUAGCGGCAUGAUAGGUGCAGUGAGCAGUAUGGAAAUUGGAAAGUGAGGAUCAAGGUUGCGGUUCGGUGUUGAUAAGAAUGCCACGAACUCGGAGGAGCAGGGGAGGAUUUUAGAUGUUCAAAGUAUAAUGGCACUAUUUUCGAGCAGCCUGAGGAUGGUCUGUUUUGUGGUAGGAGUGUUGGGUAUUGAAAUGCGGAUGCUUGGCUAGUAUUAUAGAAAUAGCAUGGUCGAUGGCUAUUAAUGUUCAGUUUUUACUACCUGGUGCGGAAGGUUAUGGGAGUAUAUCCCACGGGAAGAUCGUAUAAGUGUGGCGUGUUAGUCAUUCCAUUUAGAGAUUGAAAUCAGGUAUGGAGAUUUUGGUACUAUCACCAAUGUGAGAGGUUAUGACUGAGAGGCGCUUUAUUCCUUGGGUUGUGGACUGUGGGAGUUUGUUCCAGAUUUGACGACUGCUCGUAUGUGUCAUGAAUAGGGUCAUCAUGGAUCCUUGAAAGGUUAUUGGCCCAAUAUGGGAUGAUCGGAAUCGUCUUGAUGUCCGUUAGUAGAUCUAAUGUGAAUGUAUGCUCUACAUCAGGUCAGAUGUGUUCAGUCAGCAUAGCAUUGCUUAUGCAGGAGUCUUCGGGUGUUAGAUGUUUAUCCUGUCGUCAUCUAUUCUAUGUAAUACUCUAUUAUGCCAUGUAGGUUAUGAGACGGCUUGAUUUUUUGCACAUGUGUUGUGAUCCCGUGUAACUUAUGGUGUUAUAUGAGCAAGAUGGCUCUCUAGAUGCAAGUUGUUUAUUUCACCUUACUCAUGCUUGGGUUUUUGUAGUGCAUGGCGAUAUCCGUCUCUCCAGGGUUGUAUUUAUGCACUUGACGUGCUUGUGGUCGAUAUUCGGGUAUUUCGUAGGUAUGAGCAUUAUGGCUUGAUGGGUAUUUCCUUAUUUAUUAUUAUGUGUGGAUCGGGUGGCACGCCGCCACGGGUAUGUUUCUUGGAUCAGGUUGCAUACUGCAAUAGUGUCAUGUUUGGAUCGGGUUGUAUGCCGUAAAAGUGUCAUGUUUGGAUCGGGAUGCACACCGCAAUAAUGUCAUGUGUGGAUCGGGUUGCACGCCGUAACAGUGAGAUAUUGAGUAUGGUUCCUUAUACUUAUUUUGUGUGCCUUGUUUCUCAUCUCUAAUAUGGGUUCAUAGCAUCUGUUUGACCGUUUUAUUCAUUACGCGUGCUGGAUGGUUCUUUGCCAGAGUUCAUUCUUCCUUAUGGGUCACAUUAGAGUUUGUAUCUUAUUGGCGCAUUGAUGGCGUCAUAUGAGAUUUUUGGCGGUGUUUGAGGUGGCUUAUCGCCCGAGCAGCUUGUACUGGCUGAGACGAGGUUAUUGGAGCUAAAAUCAGUGCAAUCAAAUUUAUAUAAGGUAUAUUAGAGGGAAAAUGUCACUAUUCAGUUCAGAAUGAGGCAAGAGUUCUUGUUGAGCGUAGGACUCCAUGAUUUAAUAAUUUGGCAGGUGGUUAUGAGCUUCUACGCGUCGUUUUCAUCGUUGUAGUAUCGCGAGGGUUGGAUCAGGGCUUAUGCGCAUAUGAGGUAUACUACGGGCAUCAGGUUAGUAAAUUUGCAGCUUCUACGGUUGGAGGAUGUUAUUAUGGGCAUACAAAUUAUGCGGUGCAUUGUGUGAUUUCAGCAUGGGUGUAUGAUCAUAUUUGGUACAACGGGUUGAUAUUGAUAUGGUGUUUGUAUAUCAGAAUCGAUUCUCAUAGAGAGUUCCGAAUGUUGGAAUUUGGUUCUAAGGCUUGUGGGCUAAGGUAGCAGGAAGGAUCUUCAGUCUAGAUCUAGCUAAUGUAUUCACAUUGGUUGUGGUGGCACGGGAAGGUGCACGAGGUGUUAAACAGUGGUUUUGAGAAAUUCCGGAGCAGUUCUUGGCACGUUCGAGGACGAACGUAUGUUUAAGUAGGGGAGAAUGUAACAACCCGACCGGUCAUUUUGAGCUCUAGCACGUCGUUCGGCAGUUUUGAGGCCUUGAGUACCUUCACUUCAAGUUUUAUGACUUGUACACGUAGUCGAAAUCGAAUAUCGGGAAGUUCGGAGUUGAUUUGGAUGAAAAAAUCUCAAUUCGGAAGCUUUAAGUUGAAAGAGUUGACCAAGGUUUGACUUUUAAGUAAACAACUUCGGGUUCGGGAUUUGAAGGUUCCAAUAGGUUCGUAUGAUGAUUUCGGAGUUGGGCGUAUGUUCGGGUUGAGUAUCUGGUGGUUCGAAAGCAUUUCGGUGCUUACUGUGGAAAGUUGGCAUUUUAAAGGUUUUAGAAUUUCCUAAGAUUGAUUUGAAGUGAACUUUGAUUUUAUUGAUGCCCAUUUGGGAUUCCGAGCCUUGGAAUAUGUUGUAUCGUGAUUUUUGACUUGUACAUAAAGCUUGGCGUCAUUCCGAAAUGUUUAAGUGUAAUUCGGGCGAUUUGGGGUGAUUUUUGAAGAUCAUUUUCGCAAUAUAUCAUAAGGUAAGUUAUUCUUACUUGUUUCGUGUUAAAUACAUGAGUUAUAUAUGGAUUUUAACAUGGAAAUUUAAUAUAAAUUAUGGAAUUUUUGGUAGAAAAUCUAAAAAUAAAAUUUUUAGAUUUUGACCACGAAAUUGGACAUGGAAUUAGGAAUAAAUUAUAUAUUUGAGUUUGUGGUAUUAUGGGUAAUAUUUAUCUUCGAAAAUGUUCGAAAUCGGGGCACAUGGGCCCGAGGUUGACUUUUUGAGCGGAGUUAAAAAUUAUUAUAAAUUGAUUAAUUAUGAGUAUGUGAGUGUAUUUUUAUUGGUUUGCACGUUGUUUGACUAGUUUCAGAUCGAUGGGCAUCGGUUUGAGGUGUUAGAGAGGCGUUGGAGUCGGUUAUGAAACUUCGUUGCGAGGUAAGUCUCUUGUCUAACUUUGUGAGGGGGAAUCUGCCCCGUAGGUAUUAAAAUUAUUGUGUGCUACUAGUUGUGAGUGUUACGUACGCACGAGAUGACGAGAGUCCGUACGUAGCUAAAAGUAUGUUUAUGUCCGGGUAGACUUAGGACUUUAUCAUGUAAUAUUUGAAUUAUUUGAACUCAUUUUGCUAGCUUAAUUAAGUAAAUUUAUAAUUGAAAUUGAUUUGAGAAUAUAUUAGGCCGAGCUUUAUCACCUUGAGUUGUUUGGGCAGAUAUUUGAUAAACGGUAAAAGUCAUGUUUACUUUAUGCUCCUGCACCUGUUUUGUAAGCACGUGACUCGUAAUUCGAUAAGUUUCUUCUUCUUUUUUGUGGAUCGGGCUGAAUGCUUCGACAGUAUAUUGAGAUGCAUCUCUGGUUCGCGUCGUUCGACCCUCGACAGUGUACACACCACUCUGGAUCGGGUCGUACGACCUCGGUACAAUCAUGUGUUAUACCGCUAGCAGUCUGGAUAUUCACGAGAUCCCCUUUCUAUUGAGGCCUGGCAUUUUAUAUGGUAUUCCUUAUCCGUUUGAUUUUGCACUCUUAUGGGAUCGGGCCGUUCUCCUUUGCAGAAUCGUGCGUAAUAUUCGAUAAGGAGUCAGCGUAUCUAUGAAUCUAUCUGACUUAAGACGUGAUAUUUUAUUGGUUAUUUACCUUACAUAUAUUCCAUUCGAGGUAAUAUUCGGUAUUCGAGGGUUUUUGUAUUUACUCUUCUGUUGAGGAUCGUGCUAUGUACAUAUAUAUAUUUUUACUGUUUUACUUGCCAUGCUUCAUAUAUGUCUACCUUUAUUGUAGGGAUAAUACAUAAUUACCCCUCUGAGAUUGCCUUCCUUUAUCAGAUGCACCCUUACACUUUGUGAAGGUCUUAUGACCCCCUUAUAUUUGUUCAACCUGUAAUUAAUAUCACCUUUUGAGCUGAUGUGACAUAUUUCUGGAUUGACUGCGCGUGAAAGCGCAAAAUAUCAUAUUUUUUCAUUUUUCAUUUUUUCUCUUUCUUCUUUUUUAAUUCCUUUAUUCUAUCCCAUCUUUUCUUUUUCUAAUUUCUUUUCUUCUACUUUUUUGAUGUUCUCCUUUCUUCCUGUCAGCGGCUCACCUCAAUUCCCCAGUAGCCAAACCUUCAAAACCAAUUAACUUUCAAUUGUAAUCCAUGAAUUGAUUUUUAAUUUUCAAACUCAAGUAUUUUGGGUUCAAGAAAAAAAACAAAGGAUCACAAAAGAAAAUCAAUUUCCAGCGAGCUUGGGCUAAAAGAUCGAUUGUUGGUUUGACCUUUAUCUUAUCUCCAUAAUUUUCUAAUUAAAAUGUUUUCCAUCUCUCUUCCAUCUAUUUGCCAAAAUACCCCUCUUCAACACCAGAAAUAAAAUAGGAAAGAAGACAAAUGAUUUCACCAGAAAAUUUUUCGACCAGACAAAUUAACCGGUGGCUUUAAUUUGUGUAUCACAAUAUGUUCUCUCUUCCAAUGAAAAAGUAGGAGGAAUAAAGUGAUAAAAACUAACCCGUGCAUACCCAGAUCGAAGGGAGGAGGAGCACAAACCCUCAUUGUCGAAAAAAAUGGUGCCGACAAUACCAAGCUUUCCGGCCAACUAAAAAUUUUCCUCAAUCUAUAACCUAUGUCAUACUCUUUUUUCUCCCUAAUUCUGUUUAAUAUCAAAGCCAUCUAUCUACUAUGAAGAAAAGAAGAAUAGAGAAAAUGGUGUGGGAAAGUGAGAUGGGGCAUCGAGAAGAAAGAGAAAAUGAAGAAAAGAAAGAAAGUAAAAGAAAG